GACGAACGCUGGCGGCGUGCUUAACACAUGCAAGUCGAACGGAAAGGCCCUGCUUUUGUGGGGUGCUCGAGUGGCGAACGGGUGAGUAACACGUGAGUAACCUGCCCUUGACUUUGGGAUAACUUCAGGAAACUGGGGCUAAUACCGGAUAGGAGCUCCUGCUGCAUGGUGGGGGUUGGAAAGUUUCGGCGGUUGGGGAUGGACUCGCGGCUUAUCAGCUUGUUGGUGGGGUAGUGGCUUACCAAGGCUUUGACGGGUAGCCGGCCUGAGAGGGUGACCGGCCACAUUGCGACUGAGAUACGGCACAGACUCCUACGGGAGGCAGCAGUGGCGAAUAUUGCACAAUGGGCGGAAGCCUGAUGCAGCAACGCCGCGUGCGGGAUGGCGGCCUUCGGGUUGUAAACCGCUUUCGCCUGUGACGAAGCGUGAGUGACGGUAAUGGGUAAAGAAGCACCGGCUAACUACGUG
rnacentral:rRNA from 1 species